GGCGUCGUCGGAGAUGCGGGGUGUUCGCCUCCUUUUAGUUGGGUUUUCUGAGCUUCAGCGCAGCAGGAGGGCGGGGGCGCCCCGUGAGCACCAGGGUUUCUCCCGCUGCUGGGUUCUCCUUGGCACUCGCUGCUCCAGACUCAGGGUGAAGCUCUUGCCUGCGGGAGCCCAGUUUCUUCAGGAACCACCCGGAGCAAGAGGGAGGGUGGCAAGCCUGCCUGGAAGUCAACCCACGGCUACACUUCAGCAUAGUGGAUCUCUCUGUUCUGCUGCCACUGUCGUUGUUGUUGACUGUGGACCCUCCGCUGCCCUCAGGAACUGAGCUCUAGGGGGAGACAGAAAAUGACAGGGUGCUUUCUGACAGGACACCGGAAUGGCUUUCAACGUGGGACUGUCUCCUCCAGGCGGAGAAAGUGCAUCCAGAUGCCUCCACACACCAGGGCCCAGCAGGCAGAGCGGGUCACCUGGAGGUGCCCCUGCAGUGGGAACCAGUGUAGCCACAGCGGCCGCUCCUCGCACCCUAUUGGACCUGCAUGGGAAGAGCAGAGCCAGUGAAGCCCAAGCACGGAGGAGGCUCUUUCCUUAGUGACACCCCCCGGGGAGUGCUGCAUGGACUCAGAAGCAAUAAAGUGCAGAUGGAAACCAGGAGGCCCUACCGAGGCACCACUUGCUGGCGGGUGCUUCACCAGUUCUGUUGCCCUCUCGGCCCUUCACCUGCUUUGCUCCUGGGACUGCUGUGCUUGCGGACAUCAGAGCUCCACCCCUAUGUUCUCAUGCUGCUCCUGGCCCCUCUGGCUGGGCACAGCCCCUGACCACUCUCCAGGGCCUCUGCCUCCGCUGGUGUGCUCCUUUCACUAUGGCCACUGAGUGGCAGCCUUGGAGCAGGGAAGUGAAUUCUAGGGAGGUGCUGUUGAUCAUCUAAUCACCAGCAGGGAGAAAUCUUCUCUUGUGUUUUCCUCCAAAGGGUGCACAGAAAAGGCAACAUUUUUAAAUCCUAUUAAGGAGUCCUAGAGCUCUGGCCUUGUAGACUCCGCUGGAAUGAAGGGUAGAAUGGGAAUGGUGUUCAUGGCCCACUGUCUCUGCAGGGGCUGGGCUGAACAGGAGGCACUUUCUUGGUGUUAUUCGGGUGGUGCUAGAGAGCUGGGGGACUGGGCUGGUGGUCUUCCUAAUGCU